CCGCCCGGCAGCCCAGUCCGUCUCCGUCCCGCGCCCGCGGGUGGAGCGACCUCCAGUCCGCGGUGCCUGGGCCUGGGCGCAGUUCUGCAGGCGUCUCUGCCCGCGUUGCCGCCUCUCGGCCCCGGCGAGUGAGGAGCGGGGCGCGGCCAUGGGCACCCGCGGGCCCCCCGCGCUGCUGGACACCACGCCCGCCAAGACCAUCGUGGUGUACCGCAACGGGGACCCGUUCUACCCGGGCAGGAGGUUCGUGCUGCCGCGGCGCCGCGCCACCACCUUCGAGGCGCUGCUGGAGCAGCUCACGGAGCAGGUGGACGUCCCGUUCGGCGUGCGCCGCCUCUUCACGCCCACGCGGGGGCGCCCGGUGCUGGCGCUGGACGCGCUGCAGGCGGGCGGCAAGUACGUGGCUGCGGGCCGCGAGCGCUUCAGGGAGCUCGAUUAUAUUCAUAUAGUUCCCCGAAAACCUGCAAAGAUAAGGAAGUUGAAGGAAAUCAAACCGGUGGUGCAUUGUGACAUAAAUGUGCCUUCCAGGUGGCAAACAUGUCAUCGUAUAUCCCGACAUAUAAACCAUGAGACAUGGACAAAGGUUGAACACCUUGUAAUUGGAUCAGCAAUGAACAAAACAGCACGAGGUCCUUCUUGUGUGGAUUCAAGUGUUUUUACAAAUGGAAGAUUAUUUGUUCCACCUGCAAAGAUUAUUAUACCCCAGUUUAGCCUGUCUGAUUGGGAUAUCGUGCUGGCCAUGAUUGGAGAAAAAGUCUUCCCUCUAGGAGGUGUCCGGAAAUUAUUUACAAUGGAUGGGCAUGUUUUGGAUAACUCAAAGGAUUUGCAAGACCAUCACUUUUACGUUGCUGUGGGACUGGAGAGCUUCAAGCGUUUUCCUUACUGGAAGUCUCCGAGGGUGCCCAGUGAGGUCCAACAAAUAUAUGCGAAUGUUGAAAAACACCUACAGAGAAAGAAGAAAGUAAAUAACGUUUUAAAACAAGUGGAUUCCAAAGGAGAAGUACCUCCUAAAUAUGAUGGCAUACCCCCUAAAACACAGGAUUCCGUUUAUCAUGCCAAGGAAGAAAAGAAGAGAACAUUGAUAGAACCUUCAGUCGAAAGGGGCGCAGAAGGUGAUGUGUAUAAAGCACCAACUCCUAGCCAGGAAACCCAGGGAGCACUGGAGGUCAAAGAAGAUGGCAACGUGCAGCUGGAGGUGCCUGUGGACCAGAGACCAGCUGAGAUAGUUAAAGAAGAUGAAGAGAUACAUGAGAACACCCCCGAUUUUGAGGGCAGCAAGGAAAACGAAGAUGCAAGGCUUUGUGAAGACGUUGAAAGAAAGGUUUGCAUCAACGAUAGCUGUGGUUUUGUUCGAAGACAGAGCUAACGAGAGAACGCAUGGAUCCCCAGCUCUUGGCAGUAUCUCUCAAGAACCUCAGCAAGAGUGAAAAAGUGAUUCCAUUUCCUGCUAAGAGACCCUAUGACCAGUGCUCACUCACGGACCCUUCUGUGUGACACAGGGCACAGCGCGGGUGAACGUGUCUGCAGCGAGGCCCCGGCGAUUCCCUGCCCCGCUGGGGGCGUCACCAAGCUUCCCACUGAUGGGCAGCCAUCCCCUGUGCUCAUGUGGCCUUUGAAUAAACCACGCUCUCAUGACUCUGCCUGGAGCCCCCUAAGCCAUCUUGUGUAUGGCAAGCUUCAGAUGGCCCAGGAGUGGAAACCUGUAGACUAACAAAACCACCUUUAUUGUCUACCUGAAGUCCACUUCUCUUCAACCGUGGGGCUUCCGUCUCACAUAUGGACAUGUUAACAGCAAGAAAAUCACAUCUGGGGUGAAACUGAAGCCCCACACAGUGGUGUAUUCUCAAAAGCUAAGGACGAGGUUUCCCACUUACUCCCUUUCUCGGUGAUAUUUCUUUUUAGUAAACAUUUUAAAGAAUGAAA